UACGGAGGGGGCAAGCGUUAUUCGGAAUUAUUGGGCGUAAAGGGCGCGUAGGCGGCUAGAUGUGUCAAAGGUGAAAUCCCUCGGCUCAACUGAGGAACUGCCUUUGAAACUGUCUGGCUUGAGGCCGGGAGAGGGUAGCGGAAUUCCCAGUGUAGCGGUGAAAUGCGUAGAUAUUGGGAGGAACACCAGUGGCGAAGGCGGCGACCUGGGUCGACACUGACGCUGAGGCGCGAAAGCGUGGGGAGCAAACAGG
rnacentral:rRNA from 1 species